rnacentral:rRNA from 1 species
CAGCAGCCGCGGUAAUACGAAGGGGGCUAGCGUUGCUCGGAAUCACUGGGCGUAAAGCGCACGUAGGCGGAUACUUAAGUCAGGGGUGAAAUCCCGGGGCUCAACCUCGGAACUGCCUUUGAUACUGGGUAUCUUGAGUCCGGGAGAGGUUGGUGGAACUCCGAGUGUAGAGGUGAAAUUCGUAGAUAUUCGGAAGAACACCAGUGGCGAAGGCGGCUAACUGGCCCGGUACUGACGCUGAGGUGCGAAAGCGUGGGGAGCGAACAGGAUUAGAUACCCGUGUAGUCCCUGUCUCUUAUAC